rnacentral:lncRNA from 1 species
CUUGGAAAUCCGUGUCUUUGAGCAUCAUAAAGAAGUUGUGCAUCUGCUAAAAUCGGUUUCCAAUUGAACAUACUUCUUUCUGAAAUAAAUAUUAUAGUUUGAUUACAUUUUAGGGUGUCUGAGGAGUAAACAGAAACAUAUUUUGACUUGUUGAAAAAAAGUUUAGGGCUAGAUUUUCGGAUUCCUUUCUCUGCAAGUCGAACGAGUGGAUUACUCAAAUCGAUGGCACCAACGAAACAGACUUUUUGGGAUAUAAAGAAGGAUUUUAUCUAACAAAACGACACUACAUGUUGUAGCUGGGACCCUUUGGAUGACAAAUCAGAGGAAGAUUUUCAAAAACUUCCUUCACACACCAGAACUACACCAAGUGAAGAGAUGAAUACUUCAACUCCAGCUACCAACUCUUCCCUUCCUGAAGAUCUACUGGCUGUCUACUUUUCCCAAAUCAAAUCAAUCAGCACUGCUUCCUUUGCAAUCAACAUCAUCCUGGGUCUCCCCACUAAUGUCUACAUUCAAUGGCUAAUAGUGACUGAAGCGGGGACUGAAGCGGUCCUCUUCUGCGUGUCUGCUAUCUUUUAUUUCAUCAGUCUACACGACCCCUCAAUCGUUGUAUUGUACUUCAUGUUAUUUUCUUAUUGUUUUCUUUUCACCAGUCGUCCCCUGUUUCAAAGCUGUAUCUGUGUAGAGCGCUACCUGGCGGUGGUCCACCCUGUGGUCUACCUGAAGUACAAACCCCUGAGAUACAGGGUGGGGUGUUGUGGUGUUGUCUGGCUGAUGGUGCUUGGGUCCUGUCUGUUCUUUAUGCUGGUGAAUGAAAGAUCUGUUGUAUUUUAUGUUUACUGGGGAGAGGUUCUGAUGUUGUUUUUGUUAAAGCUGUUCUGCUG